rnacentral:rRNA from 1 species
GACAGAGGGUGCAAACGUUGUCCGGAUUUACUGGGCGUAAAGAGCGCGCAGGCGGUCGUUCAAGUCGCGUGUGAAAGCCCCCGGCUCAACUGGGGAGGGUCACGCGAUACUGAUCGACUCGAAGGCAGGAGAGGGUAGUGGAAUUCCCGGUGUAGUGGUGAAAUGCGUAGAUAUCGGGAGGAACACCAGUGGCGAAGGCGACUACCUGGCCUGUUCUUGACGCUGAGGCGCGAAAGCUAGGGGAGCAAACGGG